rnacentral:rRNA from 1 species
UGGGGAAUAUUGCACAAUGGGCGAAAGCCUGAUGCAGCAACGCCGCGUGAGUGAUGAAGGUCUUCGGAUUGUAAAGCUCUGUCUUUUGGGACGAUAAUGACGGUACCAAAGGAGGAAGCCACGGCUAACUACGUGCCAGCAGCCGCGGUAAUACGUAGGUGGCGAGCGUUGUCCGGAUUUACUGGGCGUAAAGGGUGCGUAGGCGGAUGUUUAAGUGAGAUGUGAAAUACCCGGGCUUAACUUGGGUGCUGCAUUUCAAACUGGAUAUCUAGAGUGCAGGAGAGGAGAAUGGAAUUCCUAGUGUAGCGGUGAAAUGCGUAGAGAUUAGGAAGAACACCAGUGGCGAAGGCGAUUCUCUGGACUGUAACUGACGCUGAGGCACGAAAGCGUGGGUAGCAAACAGGAUUAGAUACCCUGGUAGUCCACGCCGUAAACGAUGAGUACUAGGUGUGGAGGAGUAUCGACCCCUUCUGUGCCGCAG